GGGGAUAACGUUCGGAAACGGACGCUAAUACCGCAUACGUCCUACGGGAGAAAGCAGGGGACCUUCGGGCCUUGCGCUAUCAGAUGAGCCUAGGUCGGAUUAGCUAGUUGGUGGGGGUAAAUGGGCUCACCAAGGCGACGAUCCGUAACUGGUCUGAGAGGAUGAUCAGUCACACUGGAACUGAGACACGGUCCAGACUCCUACGGGAGGCAGCAGUGGGGAAUAUUGGGACAAUGGGCGAAAGCCUGAUCCCAGCCCAUGCCGCGUGUGUGAAGAAGGUCUUCGGAUUGUAAAGCACUUUAAGUUGGGAGGAAGGGUUGUAGAUUAAUACUCUGCAAUUUGACGUUACCGACAGAAUAAGCACCGGGCUAACUCUGUGCCCAGCAGCCGCGGGUAAAUA
rnacentral:rRNA from 1 species